GACUUAGGGCGCGAGCGUUGUCCGGAUUUAUUGGGCGUAAAGAGCUCGUAGGCGGCUUGUCGCGUCGACCGUGAAAACUUGGGGCUCAACCCCAAGCCUGCGGUCGAUACGGGCAGGCUCGAGUUCGGUAGGGGAGACUGGAAUUCCUGGUGUAGCGGUGAAAUGCGCAGAUAUCAGGAGGAACACCGGUGGCGAAGGCGGGUCUCUGGGCCGAUACUGACGCUGAGGAGCGAAAGCGUGGGGAGCGAACAGG
rnacentral:rRNA from 1 species